rnacentral:misc_RNA from 1 species
CUCCGAGCUCCGUUGUAUGAGCAUCGUGUGUGUGAUUGUGUAUGGAAAAAUAUUUGCAUUUUGUACUAAAAAGUCGGGCUUUGUAGUAUGUCUUGACAAGUGAGAGAGACUUUCCAACGAGGGUCUCGGCAGUCAAGGGUUCAUCACGAUGGCAGGCGGUCAACAGCUUCCGGAACAGUAUACUGUACCACAACUAGCCAAUUUCUUUCACAGUCUGCCACAUCUUAACGUAUCUCUACACUCCGUUAACAACACCUUUAAUCCCAACUCUGAGAUAUAUAUCGAGAGUCUGGGUAUCCUAGCUAGCAUUCCUGCUGCCUGGCUGAUCUUGACACUUCUUGUACUGCUGGUUUAUCUCGUAACGAGAUGCUGCGAUCGAAAGCCACGGCCUCGAAGAUCAAUAACUUUGCUCAAAUGCUCGCUAGCAAUUCUAGCAGUUUUAUGCUCCGGUGCAGUUGCAGUUGGACUUUAUGGCAACGAUGAUGUUCAUAAUGGCCUCGUACAACUUUUAGAUGCCGCUAAACACGUGGACACUAGUGUUACUUCGAUAAAAAAUCAAACAGACACCAUUGAGAAUACAUUAAAAAAAAAACUGGAACCUGAUCUUACCACUCUAAGAGAUGAAUUCGACGCGCCUGUUGGCAAUAAAACCGCUCUGGACUACUUGAUGAAAGUGUGGGAUUAUAUGACACACAAUACAUCCAUUGCUGUCAAUCGAACUUAUGAAAUAAGGAAACCAUUGAACGGGAUAAAUCUUGGAAGGAUCGUUCUGAUGGGUGAAAGGAUCGAAUUAUUCAGGUGGCCUGUUACUAUGGCUGUUCUUAGUACUCUUCUUGUACUUUGUGUGGUUCUGCUGGUCGGAGUCGCGCGACACUCUCGAUGUGCUCUCAUUACAUUUUCUGUAUUCGGCCUCUUUGCUGUCAUAGUAUCAUGGCUGAUGGCUUCAUUGUACUUGGCGACGGCAGUGGCCCUAGGCGAUCUUUGUGUGUCACCCGAUGGCUAUCUAACUAGAUCAGUACCAUCAUCAUUAGCCGCAGAAGUACUAAAUUAUUACAUGCGCUGUGAAAGUACACGAAAUAAUCCCUUUACAUUACGACUGAGAGAAGGCCAGUUAGCGGCUGGUAAUAUGAGAACAAGUCUGACUAUCGUAGAACGUAUUGCAUUGGAUCUAUUCAGAGAUCAACAACUUGCGCCUAAACUCAGUAGCCUGAAGAAUGAAGUAAAUACUGUAGAUCGACUUAUGUCUGGUUUAACAACUCUUUUGGAUUGUAAACCACUUCAUAAGCAAUAUGUCAGUGGUGCAAAAGGCCUGUGUCAUCUUGGAUUAUACGGUUUGACGUUCAUGUUAUUAGCAAGCUUGACAGCUGGUUUAUUCUUCACUGUAUUAGUCUGGGUGGACUCUCAUACGUGGAUCUACAUUCGGAAGCGAAGAGAUUACCACCAAGUUGAUGAGCAGGAUCCAUUCUUACCACCAUCAGCAGCUUCCCAGGCGAUCGCAGCUAGAACUCUUCGUGGCCAAGGGUCGUACCCACCUACAGCCCCUACUCUUAAUCCAAAUUCUCAUGGCACGAAUAAUACAAUUAAGCAGCCUCUUCUGCUAACGCCGCCCCCGCCAUCCUACGCUACUGCAACAGCUCGCGCACGACAGCUGCACGAGAGCAUGUUAAAAGGUGGGGGUAUUAAUGGCAGCGGAGGAAUCGGAGAUCACAAACAGUCUCAGCAUAAUCAGCAAUCAAGUGGACGAUCUGACCACCGUUCUGGGCACGGAGAUCAACCUGGAAGGGAACCUCCUUGGACACCAAGUGUGGCAUCCUUCACUGGCACCAUGUCUCACAACUCCCAUGGACCUGCUCAUCUUGCAACUUUCCAAGACUCUCGUAAGACUCAGACGUUGGAUCCAAAGAAUUUGGCUAAUUUAAAACGUGGCGCAACACCUGCAUGGAAUCAAAAUCGUCCUUUACCACCUAAUGCAACCCAACCUACUUGGGAAUUUGAAAAUCGUUCCCAAACCAACAUGAACCAAUUUCGUUCUUUAGUGAAAAAUAAAGCUCCUAAUGUUAGGAUCCAAGAUCAAGUGCAGGAUCAAGUUAGAACUCUUGAUAGAAAUUUUUCACGUGGUCAAUUCAAUGGUAUAACGCCUAAUAAUGCAGUGCCAAAUAUGUAUGGUACAUACAAUCGCUCACAAGCAAGACAAGAAAAAGCAUCAGCGGUUCCAACGCUUAGCCAAGUCCAAGGCAGUGAUCCGAAUCUCUAUGCUGUGACAGAGUUGUAGAAACGGUCCUGAUCAAGGUAUUAGUUGAAAAACCAAAGCUGUAGAAAGGCGGAAUUAAUGGAGACUGAUAUGAAAAAUAAGAGAGGGGGCAAAAGUCUCGGAUGUACGAUUAAAAAAUGAUUGACGACUGAUUGGUUUAUGGUCUAUGCAAUAAAGUAUGAGUACCUGGGGUGAUAGAUUCAAUAGUAAUCAAUCAAUAUUCACAUAUAUUGUGAGAGAGAAUACCAAAAGACAAUUUUUUUAUAUAAUUUAUAUUUCACAUAUUAUCUAUCGCGCAAAUUGUAAGUACGUACUAUUCAUCUUUGUUUUGUCUUUUUUAUUAGAAAAUUUAUUACGUCCCACCUAAAUAAAUAACAAUUAAAUGAUAAUUAUCAAGGUAGAGCCAAGUUACCAGUAAAAUAAUAAUGAUUAAGAUCAAGAUUUUAUACCAGGCUUUCUUGAUAAGCAUAAACCUUUAAUAAAAAAAAAAAAAAGCAAACGCAUUAUUAUCAUUAUACUGAUAAAUACUGCCACUACUCAGGCAAUAUUAUUAUUACAAGUACAAACCGUUAUCGGUGGUACGUGAUUUCGUACGAUCAAAGAAAUACAUAAAGGUUCUAAAUUAAUCGAAAAUAAUUUUUUAUUAUUAUUUAUUCUAUGUGGAAUGUGAGACUGUAUCAUUGAUACAAACGAAAAUAAAUUAUAAUUAUACACAAGUAUUCGCUGAACAACGAAAUCUUACCGGCGAUUUCAUACUCCAUUCCGCUAUUUAUUUUCACCUUUAUUCUGUAAAUACAUAGAUAAAAAUAUAUAAGAUUAUAAAUUAGAGGUGUAAAGUGUGGUAAUUAACAAAAGAAAGAUAUAAUCUUCAAUGUUGUUUCAAAAUAUCAAAGUGAUUAUAAACAAACAAAAACUACUUUAAAUAAUUCAAAAGGGUAUUCCUGAAUGAUUAAAAAAAAAAAGUCCUCCCACUCUUAAUUUCACUAAUUUUAUGUGAGAAUAAUAACCCGUGCCAUUCCACACGCAUUUAGUAAUAAUUUUUUUCAAACUUUUUUAAAAAUAAUAUUUCUACCUGUAUGUUUUUUUUUCUAUUCAACUAUUUAAAAGUGUUAUAAAAUUUUUUUUUACUGAAUUUAUAAAUAAAGAAAGAUAAUAAAGAAGAAAAUUGAAUGAAAAUUGAUGGGAAAGCGUUAUAAUUGCGAGUAUUCAUGUGGACUGCUUCAGCAUGGGUAUGAAAACCCGUUGUAAAUAUUUGUAAUAUUUAUUAUAAAUGAUAUUUAGAUAAUUAGAUGGCGUCACAUUUAAUUUAUAGAUUAUUAAGUUCCACAUUUGAGGAAUCAAUAAUGCGUCGCUGGCUAAUAGAAGACACAAGUAAAUAAAAGAGAAUUAAUAAUAAAAAAUAAAAAAAGAGUAAUGUAGUUAUAACGAACAUUAGCAUAAAAAGAUUUGAUGGUGUAGGAAGGUAUAUAUUAUAUCCUAGUCAUUAAGUAAACAGCAGGUGUGUUCAGCAGAAAUAAAUAAACUUGAAAUAAUUUCUUGCCAAAUUCAUCAUGUGAAAUGGCUCAACUUUUUAUUGAAAAAACAAAAAAAAACAAAAAAAUAGCUGAAAAUAUUCUAUUUGAAGUAAUACCUAAUGCUAUGCCACUGUCAUUAAAUAUUGCUCUUAACAUAUACUCGACAAAAAAGGAACGUAAUUAGUGUUAAAUUGCAGUGCAUUAAAGAAAAAAAACAUUUGUGUAGUUAUUAAUGGGUAAAUAAUAAAAUAGAAGACGAAAUUAAAAGAAUUAAUUUAAUAAGAAUCUUACGAAAAGGUCAAAGUAAUUAAUAAAAUAUCGUCUAUUGUUAAAGACUGCCCUGAGAUAUACAAAUACGGGAUCAAUACAGUAUUUAACUAAAUAAAAUGUUUUUUCAAUUAUUAUAUUUAUUUUAAGAUCUGGUUCUGAAUUAAUGAAAAAUUCGUAAUUGCUGAUUAAAGAUGUUUGAAUAGCACGUGUGUAUAGUGAGUCCCUGAGGUGUAAGAAAAAGAGAAAUAACAGUUGUAGUAAUAAAUUCUAAACACCAGUUUAGUGUAUUUAACACAGCCUAGACACCAUUGUCAAUGAAACAUUCAUUCUAAUUGUUUGUCAAUUGAAAUUGCAGUUUGAAUGUCUAUUGUUCUAAAGUAUAAAUUAAAUUAUCUGUUUACUAUAAUAAUUGUCAUGUUGUUCAAUUUUUUAUCAUUUUUAUACAUAAAAAAACGAACGAUGUGUGUGCGAAAGUACGUAAAAUUAAAAUUGAAUGAUUGAUAUUGUAUUUUAUUUAUUUUUUUCAUGUAAGUGUUUGCCGUUAAUGGCUGUUGAAAAUUUGAAUUUCUAAAGUAAUAUUUAAUAGUGGCCUAUCACACGUUUGUACGCAUUAUAUAUAAACAUUGAUAACGAAAGAAAAAAAAAAAAAUCAAAACUUCAUCAAUUUUUCAAUAAUUACAUAACGAGAAAAGAAAAAAAAAUGAUAGCACAAAAGCCGUCUUUGUUUUUUCGGCUGCUCAAUUUUUGCACUUCUUUUAAAACUGUGUUAGCAGUAAUGCCAAUUUUUUUUAGAUAAGUAUAUAAAAGUGACUCAAAAUUAAAUAAUUAAUAAAAAUUCAUACAUAAAUUAAGAUUUGUAUCACUUGGUAUUCAUGGUGAACAUAAGCUUACAAAACCAUGAAAAAAAAGAAAAUAAGUUCAUUCGAUAUUGUGUCUAAUUGCCAUGCAACUGAAUUUUAUUAUUCCUCUUAUUGUAUCGCUAAUUGAAUAUUAUUGAAAGAGAAAUAAAAAAAAAUUAUAAAAAAAA